rnacentral:tRNA from 1 species
CAAAAUGUAACUUAACUUAAAGUUUCUCGCUUACACCGAAAAUAUGUCUGUUUGACCAGAUCAUUUUGA